rnacentral:rRNA from 1 species
GGAGUUUGGACCGUGUCUCAGUUCCAAUGUGGGGGACCUUCCUCUCAGAACCCCUACCGAUCGUCGCCUUGGUGGGCCGUUACCCCGCCAACCAGCUAAUCGGACGCAUCCUCAUCCAUCGCCGAUAAAUCUUUACUGCUCGCGAGAUGUCUCACAAACAGACCAUCGGGCAUUAAUCUUUCUUUCGAAAGGCUAUUCCCGAGCCAUGGGUAGAUUGGAUACGUGUUACGCACCCGUGCGCCGGUCGCCAUCAAAGUCAGCAAGCUGACUUCAUGCUGCCCCUCGACUUGCAUGUGUUAAGCCUGUAGCUAGCGUUCAUC